rnacentral:rRNA from 1 species
AUGGUUAUCCACGGUAGAAAGGAAAGCAACCUUGAUUUACCAAUUCCCCUUAUUUAUGAGGGUGUGCUAAUCCGAUUGCAGAUUGCUGAUGUAUACAAUUAUUGGCCAUUGUCUGAAAUGUUUUUCUUAGUGUUUAGUUGUGUUGUGUUGUCAAUAAUUUAUAUGCUGCCAUGGGUGUUGAUGAUAAUGAGCAGCUUGGAUCUAUCUGGGACUGGGAUAAUAAUUGUGGCACUGUGCUGUCAAUACUGUGUGCAAAACACUAACGGUGCGAAAAAUACCAAGAAUUUCAUCAAGCAGCCAUCUUUACAGUGUUUCAAGCCUAAAUUGUGGUGGGCCUUUCUCACCCAGUUUACUGUUCCAAAUUCUGAAUUGAAGUCGCUGAUUCUUGUCAUGUAUCUCAAGGAUUCAAUGAUUUAUCCAUUUCCCCCCUUUUUCCAACACCAGAAGCAUUUUUCGGUUUGGCAAACAGUAGAAUUGCUGAUUGGUGAUGGUACAGAACAGUGCUGUCAUAUUUCCAGCAAGAGUAAGAGGCCAGCUGAGAAGGGGAGAACUCGAGUUGUCAUCGUGGAAAUGGUCCUCCACUGUCUCGGCUAG